rnacentral:tRNA from 1 species
UGGGAUGUCGUCCAAUGGCAGGACAUAUGACUCUGGAUCAUAUUAUCGGGGUUCGAGUCCCUGCAUCCCAGCCA